UUAAAAAUUACAAAUAAUCUAAUGGAUACUUACAUAUAAUUAAGUAAGAAUUCGAUGGGCUAUAGCCAAGCGGUAAGGCAACGGACUUUGACUCCGUCAUGCGCUGGUUCGAAUCCAGCUAGCCCAGCCAUUUUUGCGGAAGUAGUUCAGUGGUAGAAUACAACCUUGCCAAGGUUGGGGUCGCGGGUUCGAAUCCCGUCUUCCGCUCCAAUAAAAUUUAAUAUGGCGGCAUAGCCAAGUGGUAAGGCAGAGGUCUGCAAAACCUUUAUCACCGGUUCAAAUCCGGUUGCCGCCUUUUCUUUUGUGCCGAUGUGGCGGAAUUGGCAGACGCGCACGACUCAAAAUCGUGUUCCUUCGGGAGUGUCGGUUCGACCCCGACCAUCGGUAUCAUGAACGGCGUAAUAAAAGACUCUACACCAAAUGUGUAGAGUCUUUUUAUGUUUUCAUCAUACUAUAAAAUAAGCAAAAAUGGUGUGUUGGUGAAAUGGUUAUAAAUGAUUAAGGUAAACUUAUUCAUUUAGUACAUGCGAUACAGUUGGGGAAAGCUACAAAACAAUAAAGGGAUAAAUUUUUAUCCCUUUAUAUAAUUUCAUUAUUUUAUAGAGAAUUUCUCCAACCUGGUGACAUGAAGUUAAAUCCGACGCCACCAGUAGAUAUUAGUACAUGAUCAGCUGUUAAUUUCGUAAUUUCUAAGAACUUCUUUUCAAACUCUUCUCUGUUGUAUUUGUACAUAGUUGAGUGGCAUGACCACAUGUGCGUUGAAGUACUCAACCAGUCUCCUAAUUCCUUUAAUUCAGGAAACGACUCAAAUCGAAUUGGUUCAUCUAAUUUCAUGAAUCUCACUUGAUAGAUAGUUGGGUUUAACUUCUCUCCUAUUCCUUUAAAAGCAUGUGAUUUUUUGUCUUUGGAAUGUGUCAUAAUUCACCCUCCACCUUUUCUUCAAAUUUUUUCCUAUUUUUAUUAUACAACAAUAGAAAACAAUUAUGGGAAUAAUAUGGAAAUCUUUAUUGGCAAUAUAAAAAGACUGUAACAGAAAUGUUAGAGUCUUUUUGUUAAAUUAUACUAUGUGCUUCUAAAAUUCGUAAUAAACGUAGGAAUUCAUGUAUAAUAUAACUUGUCGAAAGAACAAAAUGAUAGUGAUUUAUAUUAUGUCUGUAAUAUGAAUCAAAAAUGAACUUUUUAUAUUUCUUUUAAAAAUGUGUUGAACACACAUUAUAUUNNNNNNNNNNNGGGUGAUGGCGUGCCUUUUGUAGAAUGAACCGGCGAGUUACGAUCCCGUGCGAGGUUAAGCUGAAGAGGCGGAGCCGCAGCGAAAGCGAGUCUGAAUAGGGCGUUUAGUACGUGGUCGUAGACCCGAAACCAGGUGAUCUACCCAUGUCCAGGGUGAAGUUCAGGUAACACUGAAUGGAGGCCCGAACCCACGCACGUUGAAAAGUGCGGGGAUGAGGUGUGGGUAGCGGAGAAAUUCCAAUCGAACCUGGAGAUAGCUGGUUCUCCCCGAAAUAGCUUUAGGGCUAGCCUUAAGUGUAAGAGUCUUGGAGGUAGAGCACUGAUUGGACUAGGGGUCCUCAUCGGAUUACCGAAUUCAGUCAAACUCCGAAUGCCAAUGACUUAUCCUUAGGAGUCAGACUGCGAGUGAUAAGAUCCGUAGUCAAAAGGGAAACAGCCCAGACCGCCAGCUAAGGUCCCAAAGUGUGUAUUAAGUGGAAAAGGAUGUGGAGUUGCUUAGACAACUAGGAUGUUGGCUUAGAAGCAGCCACCAUUUAAAGAGUGCGUAAUAGCUCACUAGUCGAGUGACUCUGCGCCGAAAAUGUACCGGGGCUAAAUACACCACCGAAGCUGCGGAUUGAUACCAAUGGUAUCAGUGGUAGGGGAGCGUUCUAAGGACAGUGAAGUCAGACCGGAAGGACUGGUGGAGUGCUUAGAAGUGAGAAUGCCGGUAUGAGUAGCGAAAGACGGGUGAGAAUCCCGUCCACCGAAUGCCUAAGGUUUCCUGAGGAAGGCUCGUCCGCUCAGGGUUAGUCAGGACCUAAGCCGAGGCCGACAGGCGUAGGCGAUGGACAACAGGUUGAUAUUCCUGUACCACCUCUUUAUCGUUUGAGCAAUGGAGGGACGCAGAAGGAUAGAAGAAGCGUGCGAUUGGUUGUGCACGUCCAAGCAGUUAGGCUGAUAAGUAGGCAAAUCCGCUUAUCGUAAAGGCUGAGCUGUGAUGGGGAAGCUCCUUAUGGAGCGAAGUCUUUGAUUCCCCGCUGCCAAGAAAAGCUUCUAGCGAGAUAAAAGGUGCCUGUACCGCAAACCGACACAGGUAGGCGAGGAGAGAAUCCUAAGGUGUGCGAGAGAACUCUGGUUAAGGAACUCGGCAAAAUGACCCCGUAACUUCGGGAGAAGGGGUGCUUUCUUAACGGAAAGCCGCAGUGAAUAGGCCCAAGCGACUGUUUAGCAAAAACACAGCUCUCUGCGAAGCCGUAAGGCGAAGUAUAGGGGGUGACACCUGCCCGGUGCUGGAAGGUUAAGGAGAGGGGUUAGCGUAAGCGAAGCUCUGAACUGAAGCCCCAGUAAACGGCGGCCGUAACUAUAACGGUCCUAAGGUAGCGAAAUUCCUUGUCGGGUAAGUUCCGACCCGCACGAAAGGUGUAACGAUUUGGGCACUGUCUCAACCAGAGACUCGGUGAAAUUAUAGUACCUGUGAAGAUGCAGGUUACCCGCGACAGGACGGAAAGACCCCGUGGAGCUUUACUGUAGCCUGAUAUUGAAUUUUGGUACAGUUUGUACAGGAUAGGCGGGAGCCAUUGAAACCGGAGCGCUAGCUUCGGUGGAGGCGCUGGUGGGAUACCGCCCUGACUGUAUUGAAAUUCUAACCUACGGGUCUUAUCGACCCGGGAGACAGUGUCAGGUGGGCAGUUUGACUGGGGCGGUCGCCUCCUAAAGUGUAACGGAGGCGCCCAAAGGUUCCCUCAGAAUGGUUGGAAAUCAUUCGUAGAGUGCAAAGGCAUAAGGGAGCUUGACUGCGAGACCUACAAGUCGAGCAGGGACGAAAGUCGGGCUUAGUGAUCCGGUGGUUCCGCAUGGAAGGGCCAUCGCUCAACGGAUAAAAGCUACCCCGGGGAUAACAGGCUUAUCUCCCCCAAGAGUCCACAUCGACGGGGAGGUUUGGCACCUCGAUGUCGGCUCAUCGCAUCCUGGGGCUGUAGUCGGUCCCAAGGGUUGGGCUGUUCGCCCAUUAAAGCGGUACGCGAGCUGGGUUCAGAACGUCGUGAGACAGUUCGGUCCCUAUCCGUCGUGGGCGUAGGAAAUUUGAGAGGAGCUGUCCUUAGUACGAGAGGACCGGGAUGGACGCACCGCUGGUGUACCAGUUGUUCUGCCAAGGGCAUAGCUGGGUAGCUAUGUGCGGAAGGGAUAAGUGCUGAAAGCAUCUAAGCAUGAAGCCCCCCUCAAGAUGAGAUUUCCCAUAGCGUAAGCUAGUAAGAUCCCUGAAAGAUGAUCAGGUUGAUAGGUUCGAGGUGGAAGCAUGGUGACAUGUGGAGCUGACGAAUACUAAUAGAUCGAGGACUUAACCAU
rnacentral:rRNA from 1 species